UGGCAGCGGUGGGAUUCGAAACCACGCCUCCAAAGAGACUGGUGCCUUAAACCAGCGCCUUAGACCGCUCGGCCACGCUACC
rnacentral:tRNA from 1 species